CCCUGUGGGGACUGUUCAGUCGCCCUCCUGGAGCCCAAAAGAUUCCCCCAAAGUCCUGUUAUCUGGUGGAACUGAAAGCCCCAGAGCUGGAAGGCUCCUGUCAGUGCCCUCUGGAGUGAUAAGAGUUUUAUCACGCAGUGUGUCUCUGCCAGGCUACGCUUUGCAGAAGUGGUGACAGAAGGAGAAGGAACCAUGACAUCCCUCACAGCCUCAGGAGGGUGUUUAUGUACCACUUGCAAGGGGCAAAGAAGGUGCCACCCUGAUAAUCACCACUCCAAACAAAGGCAUGAAGCUGAUUCAGUGAUAUACAAUGAACCACUCACCCGAGUCCUGCACAACCAUCAGCAAUCUCCCAAAACUCAGCCCUCUGAUUUUCAGCAUGUUUUCUGAGAAGCUCCAAUGUCAGCAAAAGCACUAACUAGGACAGUACCUUAUGGACAGUGUAAGCUGGCAGAUUUUCCCUCUGAACAUAUGGAUCUCACUGAUAAAGCC